rfam:Pseudogymnoascus pannorum VKM F-4516 (FW-969) contig_1099, whole genome shotgun sequence.
GUUCCUAUAGCUCAGCGGUAGAGCGCGGCCUUAAUAAAGAAUUUGCCGGUGCCUACGGUUCGAAUCCGUAUGGGAACG